UACCUUUCAUCGCAGCAGCUCCAGAGGGCUCCAGUGGUUUCCUCCUGAAUUAGGAAGGCCCUUCAGGGAGAAAUAGUAAUGCCAGAUAGGGUGAAAUAUGCUCUCAAUCCAUGGAACCAGAGCAUGUGGUAAACACAACUCUAAAGAAGAAGAAAAAGAUCCACCCGGCCUCUACACUUGGUGCCUUCUGCUGCGUGACUUGGUCUGACACACGGCCCUGAUGCCCACGGUCCGGCGCAGCUCUGACUCACACCUGCUAACAAAGAAACUCGAUUGGAAGUGCUGCAAUCUCAUCAGAAAAUGCUGCUUCCGGUGGUAUUUUUAACCAGGAACAGAAGCAGAAGUGUCUGGAAUCACCCGAGAAAGCCCCAGCUCUCCUGAGAGCUGUUCUCGAAUUUUGCUGGCACAGAGCGCUGGAGCAGUGAUCAGGGAGUUAAAACGGCAGAUGUUGGGGGCCUAGGGGGGAGGGAAGGCAGAUACCUGAGCGUCUCUAUCCUUCCCCCUACCUCCCUAUCUCAGAUCGCAGUAUGAAAUCAGAGCUGCUACCCACUUGCCUCAGGUCACACAGCCCAAGACUGGCACAAACGGAAGCAAACAGUUCACAACCGCCAGCCCCAGCUCUGCCUCCCUCCCAGGACGGAGGCUUGCCCUCCCUGACAUGGCCCAAGUACAGCAGCAGACAGCCGUACCUUAAAAAAAAAAAAAAAAAAAAAAAAAAAA